CAAAUCAGAUGCUUUGCCAAUAGCACAGUCAGUAACAUGUUUGAGUUCAGGCUCAUAGGAAAAGGUAAGCUGGAGAGAUCCUUUUAAUAAUUUAAAUCCAGUAGUAAAAGGUCACAGAUAAUGGGAAAUACCACACAGAGGCACAGUCAGAGAGAUAUUUGGUGUUGAGGUCUAAUGAAAGGUAGCUGACAAGAAAUGGGCCUAGCCACACAAUAAAUUCUCAAUAACAGGCCAGGUGUAGUGGCUCAUACCUGUAAUUUCAGCACUUUGAGAGGCUGAGGUGGGAGGAUUGCUU
rnacentral:lncRNA from 1 species